UGUGGAACAGACGAAAGUGCUAUGAAGCACUGGAAACAUAGCCUGGCAAAGUGAUCCACAGUUACAAAGUAUGUGCUGAGCGUCAAGGACUUCAAGAGAGAAAAAUGAUGUAAAAAUGAAUCACCC